AUACGGAGGAUCCGAGCGUUAUCCGGAUUUAUUGGGUUUAAAGGGUGCGCAGGCGGCCAUUUAAGUCAGCGGUUAAAUCGUGGGGCUCAACCCCAUUCUGCCGUUGAUACUGGGUGGCUUGAUUGCGGUCGAGGUUGGCGGAAUCCGUUGUGUAGCGGUGAAAUGCAUAGAUAUGACGAAGAACACCGAUUGCGUAGGCAGCUGACCAGACCGCAAAUGACGCUCAUGCACGAAAGUGCGGGGAUCGAACAGGAUUAGAUACCCUGGUAGUCCGCACAGUAAACGAUGAAUACUUGUUUUCGGCGAUAUAAUGUCGGAGGCAAAGCGAAAGCGAUAAGUAUUCCACCUGGGGAGUACGCCGGCAACGGUGAAACUUAAAGGAAUUGACGGGG
rnacentral:rRNA from 1 species